CUCACUCAUGAUUCGAGAUGACCAAAAAACCACCGCGUCCUUCUUUUUUUAAAUUUGAUUAAUCCUCUUCGCUCAACUUCGAAUCAUUUGGCUCAGACCUGCAUUAAACCAAAACCAUGGCGUCGAUGGCGUCAGUCCUCCGUCGAAGGCUCAACGUCAAUCCCUUCCUCAUCCAAGUAAGACUCCUCUCCGUUGAAUCUCCUUCUCGUAUAAAUGAAACGACACAGCGCAUAGAGAAAAUAUUGGUUGCGAACCGAGGUGAAAUUGCUUGUAGGAUCAUGAGGACUGCGAAGCGGCUAGGUAUUCGAACCGUAGCCGUUUACAGUGACGCUGACAGAAACUCUCUUCAUGUUAAAUCAGCUGACGAGGCUGUUCAUAUAGGUCCACCUCCGGCAAGGUUGAGUUAUUUGAAUGGUUCGUCAAUUGUUGAGGCUGCCAUUCGUACUGGUGCUCAGCUGAGCAGUGCCAGGCUAUCGAGAAAUUCUAGAAAGAUAUGGUUUCUUAUCAGAGAUUGCUGACAUUGCUAAACUUUGUGAAGACAAGGGUUUUACAAUUAUUGGCUCUCCAGCCUCAGCGAUUCAGGACAUGGGAGAGAAAAGUGCAUCUGAGAGGAUAAUGGGUGCUGCAGGGGUGCCAUUUGUCCCAGGCCAUCAUGGCAGUGAGCAAGAUAUUGAACUCAUGAAGUCAGAAGCAGAUAAAAUUGGAUACCAUAUCUUGAUAAAGCCAACCUAUGGAGGUGGAGGAAAGGUAUGCCAUUUUCUUGCAACUUAAAUUGUUUUCAUACCAUCAGCAACUGAUGUUACCUAAGCUAUUAAUGAUAUGUUGGGGUAUUGGAAUAUGCAUCUAUAAUCAUGCACAUGUUGAUGAAAUAUUACUAAAAUAACUACUUUUGGGACGUUUUCUUUAAAAAAAAAAAAUCCUUGCUCAGGGAGGAAAAUAAUAUGUGAAUCAGGUUUUUCUUGUCAAGUUGAUAUUUACUUCUUUGCAGUUAAAGUUCUCAGCCUCUGCAGAUUUUUAGGGUUUGAGGAUUGUGCAAAGUCCUAAUGAAUUUGUCAACUCUUUAUUGGGAGCACAAUGCGAGGCUGCUGCUUCAUUUGGUGUAAAGACAAUUUUGCUAGAGAAAUACAUCACUCAGUCAAGACACAUAGAAGUCCUCAUUGCUUUUCCAAUCCAUCAAUAUGGUAUUGGAUGGUAUUAUAAAUUCAUAAAAUUGAAUCAUGGUCUUCCUCCUGAAAGUUCAUGGUUCAGAUUCAAAUAUUUCCAUGAUAUUUGGAGACAAAUAUGGAAAUGUACUACAUUUAUAUGAAAGGGAUUGCACCAUACAGAGAAGACAUCAGAGGAUAAUUGAAGAAGCACCAACUCUAUGUAUUAUGUAACGUUUGGUUCCUUUAGUUUCACAGUUCAGUUUUUUCACUACAUAUCUACAAAAGUUGUAACUGGAACUCCCAUUGAUGCAGCCAAAUGUUAUGAAUGGCUUCCGCUCCCACUUGGGUCAGUCUGCAGUAUCUGCAGCCAAGGCAAUGCUCAUCUAAUUGAAUUUGCUGAAUGAAAAUUAUAUUGUGGUCUAUUUAUAAACUAAAUAUUCUUAUGUAUUGAAAACAGGGCCAAAGAAGAACUCCCCUUUGAAGCCUUAUAAAGAAAAAAUUUGUUCACGUUUUAUUUUUCAUAAAGCUAUACUAUCCUAGUAAAACCUGUCUAUGCCCCUUUGAUGAGAAGAGAUUGAUGUUAAAUGUAAAUUGACAUGAUUUACUCAGCUGAUUUUAUUAGCUGCUAGCAUGUUUAUUGUUAUAGGUAAUUUUUGAGAUUCAGACUUUACUGGUGAAAACUUUGGCUUGCAUAUUUAACUUUGAUGAACAGUGACUUUUAGACUGUGGGCCUUUUUGAACUUAGAAAUAGAGAGCCUUACAUAUGGGUUAUGAUUUUAAUUUGAAUAUAUUUUCAGGGAACAAGCGAUAUAUUGGUAUUCCAGCCAUACUAUAUUAGUGUUUCAGCAUGAUGGGAAUUACCUACUACCUAAUUGGCCUCAGUAAGCAAAUAAAUGCACCAAAUUCUGCUCCUCCAAAUACUCUGUUGGUAAAGAUUCAUGAAAAUUUUUUGAAUCUUCUUAUCCAUAUGGAAGCCUAACCAAAUUGGUAUACCAUCUUGCUUCAAGUACAUGGGAUCCUGAGCUUGUAAGGUCUAUUCAUGCAGCAAGGAACGAAGUUUGUAAUUGGCUUGUUUUUGAAGACAGUGAGAUUAAAGUGGAAUUCCCAAGAAUUUUAAAUUAGCUUGGUUGCAAAAAGAAAAUUUUUGAGUUUUCUCUUGUUUGUAGCAUAAUUGUGCUAUUAAUUUGAGAAGUAUAAGCCUACAAGCUUGCUAUCAUUUUCUUUCAUUUGGUUCUUCAUAUUUUGGAAGCUUUUUCAUAAUUUUUGUUCAAUUUUCAACUCCUUUAAUGACACUUUAGUAUGACAUAUAUACCAAAAAAGGCAGUUAAUUAGCAUAGUGCUGGUACUGUGGAGUUUAUAGUUUACAAAGUCUCUGGCCAAUUUUAUUUAUGGAGACGAACACACAACUUAAGGUGCUUAACGUUUUAUUUUCAAUGUUGUUAUCCUUAAUCCCAUAAGUUUAACAAAAUCCUAAUAGAGAUAUUCAUAUUCUUUUGUAGGUUGAGCAUCCUGUGACAGAGAUGAUUGUUGGUCAAGAUCUUGUAGAAUGGCAAAUUCAUCUUGCAAAUGGAGAACCACUUCCUCUUACUCAAGUCGUUGGUGCCAUUGUUAGGUAAGCUUGCUUCUGAAAUAUGACCAUUGUUAGUAAAGAUCUUGUAAAAUGAUGUUAUGUCUUUCAUGCUUGCAAACUAAGGCUCUGUUUGGUUAGUAAACAAACAGUACAAGAAAUUGUGCCUUCGUGUAAUGUUCAAAAGGGACCCGGGGGGAUAAAGAAGCCAAAGAAAAAUGAAAAUGUAUAUCAGGUUGAAGUACAUUUUUUUGUUUGCUAUGUCAAGAAGAAAACUUCCUUUUUUGUUGUUUCAGUAAGCUUGAUGACCAAUGCAAUAUCUUUAUCAUUUAGUCUUUGUAUCUUAUGUUUUUCACUUUGACAGGUCAUGCAUUUGAAACUUGAACAUAUGCUGAAAAUGUUUCUAAAGGAUUUCUUCCUGCAACUGGAGUUCUUCAUCAUCAUCAUCCAGUUAUCUCGUCAACAGCUUAUGUUGAAUCUGUCUUGAUCAGCAGUAUGAGUUGAGACUGGAGUUGAAGAGGGGGACAAUGUUAGCAUGCACUAUGAUCCUAUGAUUGCAAAGCUUGCAGUCUGGGGAGAAAACCGUUCUGCAGCAUUAAUCAAACUGAAGGAUUGCUUAUCAAAAUUUCAGGAAUGCACUGACUGGAAUCAUGUGUUUGUUGCAGUUAUGACCUUGGCUCCUUCUUUGAGAAGAAGAACCUUUCACUUGAUAUUUUCACUGCUAAUCAUGAGCUUGGUGGAAAAACUCUGCAUAAAUUUCUAUUAAUUUAUCUGCUUAUAUAGUAGAUGCUUUGACAGUUUGUAUGGAAGGUAAUUUGUGGAUCAAAUAGUCUGGAUGGUUUGAUAUGUUGUAUAUUAAGCGUGGGAGACACUUUAAAAACACUGUUACCCAAUUCUCGCCCCUAAAAAGUGGUAUCCUAGGAGAGAAUUUGAAGAUGUUGAUAUCCUUCAGCAUCUUUCCAUAAUGUGGCUGCUCUUGAUAAUUUAACUUCCACGCUCUGCCUUGAUGGUUGUAAGCCAAAGACUUCAGUGUUGUCCAAUAACUGGGCUAUUACUUAGUAGUCAUUUUAGAUGAAAAACAUGAUUUAUAUCUGGUGAAAAUAAUGUUGUUGUAUAUGAAUCUUGUAGUCUCAAAUCAUUCUGCUACUUCCCUUCUAGAUGUAACUUACCUCAUAUCUGAUGGGCUCUUCACUUGGGUAAGAUUUUUCUUUUUUUGUAAAUAUCUUC
rnacentral:misc_RNA from 1 species